UCCUCCUCCUCCUCCUCCUCCUCCUCCUCCCCCCCCGGGGGUGGGGCCGGCGCGGGGGGAGCCUUCGGGGGCAUCUUCGUCAUCCUCGGCGUUGGAAGAGCCCUUCAGCGGCGGCGUCAACGUCAACGUUUUGAAGAGCCCGCCCAUUGUUGUUGGCCUUGGAAGAGCCCCGUGGUCAUCGUCAGCGUGAUGAAGAUCUCCCAUCAUCAUCGUCAUCAUUGGAAGAGCCUUCGUGGUCGUCGUCGUCAUCAUCUUCAUCAUCGUCAACGUUGGAAGAGCCCUUCAUCGUCAUCGUCAUUGUCGGCGUCAACGUUUUGAAGAGCCCGCCCAUUGGUGUCGGCCUUGGAAGAGCCCCGUCGUCAUCGUCGGCGUGAUGAAGAUCUCCCAUCAUCAUCGUCAUCAUUGGAAGAGCCUUCCUCCUCAUCAUCAUCAUCGUCAUCAUCGUCAACGUUGGAAGAGCCCUUCAUCGUCGUCGUCAUUGUCAACGUCAACGUUUUGAAGAGCCCGCCCAUUGGUGUCGGCCUUGGAAGAGCCCCGU
rnacentral:lncRNA from 1 species